rnacentral:rRNA from 1 species
GAUCCUGGCUCAGGAUGAACGCUGGCGGCGUGCCUAACACAUGCAAGUCGAGCGAUUACUUCGGUAAAGAGCGGCGGACGGGUGAGUAACGCGUGGGUAACCUGCCUCAUACACAUGGAUAACAUACCGAAAGGUAUGCUAAUACAGGAUAAUAUAAGAGAUUCACAUGGAUUUCUUAUCAAAGCUCCGGCGGUAUGAGAUGGACCCGCGUCUGAUUAGCUAGUUGGUAAGGUAAUGGCUUACCAAGGCGACGAUCAGUAGCCGACCUGAGAGGGUGAUCGGCCACAUUGGAACUGAGACACGGUCCAAACUCCUACGGGAGGCAGCAGUGGGGAAUAUUGCACAAUGGGCGAAAGCCUGAUGCCAGCAACGCCGCGUGAGUGAUGAAGGCCUUCGGGUCGUAAAACUCUGUCCUCAAGGAAGAUAAUGACGGUACUUGAGGAGGAAGCCCCGGCUAACUACGUGCCAGCCGCUGC